GGGUAUAUACAGCUCAAGUGGUAGAGCACACGCUUAGCAUGCAUGAGGUCCUGGGUUCAAUCCCUAGUAUUUCCU
rnacentral:tRNA from 1 species